rnacentral:siRNA from 1 species
CUGUGUUCUGCUGUCGUCGC